UACGUAGGGUGCGAGCGUUGUCCGGAAUUAUUGGGCGUAAAGAGCUCGUAGGCGGUGUGUCGCGUCGGCCGUGAAAACCUGGGGCUUAACUCUGGGCGUGCGGUCGAUACGGGCAUCACUAGAGUUCGGCAGGGGAGACUGGAAUUCCUGGUGUAGCGGUGAAAUGCGCAGAUAUCAGGAGGAACACCGGUGGCGAAGGCGGGUCUCUGGGCCGAUACUGACGCUGAGGCGCGAAAGCUAGGGGAGCAAACAGG
rnacentral:rRNA from 1 species